GGCGCUAUAGCCAAGUGGUUACGGCGACAGAUUAGAAUUAUUACUUACAUUGAAUGGAAAUAGAUUUCAUCUGUUCCUCUUUGAGGGCGCAGGUUCAAAUCCUGCUGGCGUCG